CCUACGGGUGGCAGCAGUGGGGAAUAUUGCACAAUGGGGGAAACCCUGAUGCAGCGACGCCGCGUGAGUGAAGAAGUAAUUCGUUAUGUAAAGCCCUAUCGGCAGGGAAGAAGCAAGACGGUACCUGACUAAGAAGCCCCGGCUAACUACGUGCCAGCAGCCGCGGUAAGACGUAGGGGGCGAGCGUUAUCCGGAUUCACUGGGUGUAAAGGGAGCGUAGACGGCCAUGCAAGCCAGGGGUGAAAGCCCGGGGCCCAACCCCGGGACUGCCCUUGAAACUGCAUGGCUGGAGUGAGGGAGGGGAAGGCGGAAUUCCUGGUGUAGCGGUGAAAUGCGUAGAUAUCAGGAGGAACACCGGCGGCGAAGGCGGCCUGCUGGACCGCGACUGACGUUGAGGCUCGAAAGCGUGGGGAGCGAACAGGAUUAGAUACCCGUGUAGUC
rnacentral:rRNA from 1 species